rnacentral:rRNA from 1 species
AUUUUUAUUUUAGUGGCGGACGGGUGAGUAACGCGUGGGCAACCUGCCCCAUACCGGGGGAUACCAGCCGGAAACGGCUGCUAAAACCGCAUAAGCGCACAGCAACGCAUGUUGCAGUGUGAAAAACUCCGGUGGUAUGGGAUGGGCCCGCGUCCGAUUAGCCAGUUGGCGGGGUAGCGGCCCACCAAAGCGACGAUCGGUAGCCGGCCUGAGAGGGCGGACGGCCACAUUGGGACUGAGACACGGCCCAAACUCCUACGGGAGGCAGCAG